AUAAUUAAUAAGGAUGCAAGUAAAGUCCAUUAACUUUAAUGCCCCUUUUAUCAUUCUCUUUUUCUUCAACCACAUUAAGGAAAAAGAGAGAAUAAGGAAGCAA
rnacentral:ribozyme from 12 species